AUGGUGAUCCUGCUCAGUACGAGAGGAACCGCAGGUUCAGACAUUUGGUGUAUGUGCUUGGCUGAGGAGCCAAUGGUGCGAAGCUACCAUCUGUGGGAUUAUGACUGAACGCCUCUUAAGUCAGAAUCCCGCCUAAACGUAAGAGAGUGUCU